CUAGGCCCGCAGUCCGCCUCGUUGGCCUGGGCACGCGCGCGCGCGCGCCGCCCGCCCGGCACGCCCGAGCGGGAGGGCUGUUCCCCGUGUAUCCCCACGUUCUUCUCACACAUCUCCGCGCAAACACGGCGCGGGCCGCGCUCCUGCGAGCGGGAAGCGGGGUCGCUCUUCCCCGGAAGGCUAACCGGCCCUCCCUCGGCGCUCACGGCCUCCGUCUGCUCGCGGCCCACGAUCCCCCGGCAUGGGGGCGUGUUUCCGGUGGCGAGGCUCGGAGCCCUCCGCCUUUCCUGCACCGGAAUGGCUCAGGCAACGCUUCUUCCUCCGCAGGCUAUUAGUUCUUCCCGUCGCCUCGUCCUAAGAGUACUGCAUUAAAAAAUAAAUAAAUAAAAUCCGGUUUGUUAUGCAAGCAGCAUCCCAACAGUACACAAUUAUAUCAAAAAUAGCUAAGCGAUUAAAAAAAAAAAGUCUGGCGUGGUUGAGGCAGGAGGAUUGCAGUGAAUUCUAAAUCCAGCCUGGGCUACGUAGUGAGACUGUUGUCUCAAAAACCACGGAGGGAAGGGAGGCGGAACAAUGGAGCGGAGUAGUCCGUACAUUUGGGAGGCUGAGUUUCAGUGGUGUGACUCCCUGGGUAACAGUCUGAAGAACUUGCCAGUGGCAGCACUUCACCUGGGAAGCAGCACUCAGGAGGCAGGUGGAUCUCUGUGAGUUCGAGGCCAGCCUGGUCUAUAUAAUGAGUUCCAGGACAGCCAGAGCUCCACGGUGGAACCCAAGAGUUAAAUAAUCCAAACAGAAGGACUCAGCCUUCUGGGAUAUGCAGAAAGUCUGGCAAAGGCUGACAUUGGACUAAUGAAUACAGACUGACAUGCCAUAGGCAAGGAGAAUGAAGUUUUCAACUAAGGAAUCUAAAGGCCCUGAGACAAAUGAGACAUCUGAAGGAGAAGGGAGAAUCAUCCAGAGAAAAUGUCCCAAGAAAAAGAGAAAAUUGUCCUAUUGGUAUAGCACAUUUCCAACAAAAUAAAAUUUCAUAAAUCUUCCCAAAUGUUUGUUUCUGCUGUUCUCUACAGACAUCUAAGGCAAAUGUUUGUUGUAGUCUCAGUUCAAUUAAAAAUUAAAGCUAGCUUUUUGAGUUGGAGUGUGGACCUUUCCUCUCUAAACCCAAGAAUGCUUGUUAAAGGAAAAUUCAAAAUCUCUGCCUCAUGUCAGAAGAGUCACCUGGUAUGGCAUAGAAGGAAAAACAAAAUUAAGGGACUAUUCUAUUGUCACUAAUCUCAUAAUCCUUUGGUUUUAUUUUUACUCUU